rnacentral:rRNA from 1 species
GACGAGGGGUCCUAGCGUUGUUCGGAAUUACUGGGCGUAAAGCGCGUGUAGGCGGUUUUCCAAGUCGGGUGUGAAACCUCCAGGCUCAACCUGGAGACGCCACUCGAUACUGUCGUGACUAGAGUCCAGUAGGGGAGCGUGGAAUUCCUGGUGUAGCGGUGAAAUGCGCAGAUAUCAGGAAGAACACCCGUGGCGAAGGCGGCUCUCUGGGACGGUACUGACGCUGAGACGCGAAAGCGUGGGGAGCGAACAGG